CACACUACAACUCCCAGGAGGCGCCGCGCCCACGGGGCGGGGACGAGCUUCAGUUAGGCGCAUUUCCCAGGACCCACCGCGGCCGCAGCCUCCUCUAGAGCAGUCCUCCCCACUCAGACUACAACUUCCAGAACCGACUGCAGCCCCAAUACCUCCCUCGAGGACCCCCCCAGCCCUGACAGCUGCAAUGGCUGACUGUAUCGGUGAACUGAAGGAAAGGACCUGAGCCAGGAAUGCCAUUGAAGGCUACUGCCUUCCGUAUCCUGGAUUCUAGGAGCUGCGGGUCAGGGGAGACUGAGUCAAGAUGUUACCCAACCAGAAUCAGAGCCCUCCUGUGACCCUUCAGAAGAGAGAGCUCCCGGGCAUUUACUAACAAAAUCAUCAUAUUAUGGAUACAAAUUACUGCUUUUGGAAUGGAUUGACAAUGAGAUCCUGUUGUGUAGCACUGAGAACUAUGUCUAGAUACUUACAAUGGAGCAUGAUAAUGGAA